rnacentral:tRNA from 1 species
UGGGGGGUCGUCCAAUGGUAGGACAUCAGACUUUGAAUCUGAGAAUCAUGGUUCGAAUCCAUGCGCCCCAACCA